CGCGGCCCCGGGAAACCGGGGCCGCGGCCCUUAACCCGACCGCCCCACGGUGGGGCGCUGGUGACAAGUCCAGCAACGGGGAGUCAAGGG
rnacentral:ribozyme from 1 species